GGUAAAAUCCGUAGAUAUCACCAAGAAUACCCAUUGCGAAGGCGAUCUGCUGGAACUCAACUGACGCUAAGGCGCGAAAGCGUGGGGAGCAAACAGGAUUAGAUACCCUGGUAGUCCACGCCCUAAACGAUGUACACUAGUUGUUGGGAUGCUAGUCAUCUCAGUAAUGCAGCUAACGCAUUAAGUGUACCGCCUGGGGAGUACGGUCGCAAGAUUAAAACUCAAAGGAAUAGACGGGGACCCGCACAAGCGGUGGAGCAUGUGGUUUAAUUCGAAGAUACGCGAAGAACCUUACCUGGGCUUGAUAUCCUAAGAACCUUAUAGAGAUAUGAGGGUGCUAGCUUGCUAGAACUUAGAGACAGGUGCUGCACGGCUGUCGUCAGCUCGUGUCGUGAGAUGUUGGGUUAAGUCCCGCAACGAGCGCAACCCACGUAUUUAGUUGCUAACGGUUCGGCCGAGCACUCUAAAUAGACUGCCUUCGUAAGGAGGAGGAAGGUGUGGACGACGUCAAGUCAUCAUGGCCCUUAUGCCCAGGGCGACACACGUGCUACAAUGGCAUAUACAAUGAGACGCAAUACCGCGAGGUGGAGCAAAUCUAUAAAAUAUGUCCCAGUUCGGAUUGUUCUCUGCAACUCGAGAGCAUGAAGCCGGAAUCGCUAGUAAUCGUAGAUCAGCCAUGCUACGGUGAAUACGUUCCCGGGUCUUGUACUCACCGCCCGUCACACCAUGGGAGUUGAUUUCACUCGAAGCCGGAAUACUAAACUAGU
rnacentral:rRNA from 1 species